rnacentral:rRNA from 1 species
AAAGAUUAAGCCAUGCAUGUCUAAGUAUAAGCAAUUAUACAGCGAAACUGCGAAUGGCUCAUUAAAUCAGUUAUCGUUUAUUUGAUAGUACCUUACUACAUGGAUAACCGUGGCAAUUCUAGAGCUAAUACAUGCUUAAAAUCCCGACUUCGGAAGGGAUGUAUUUAUUAGAUUAAAAACCAAUGCCCUUCGGGGCUCACUGGUGAUUCAUAAUAACUUCUCGAAUCGCACGGCCUUGCGCCGGCGAUGGUUCAUUCAAAUUUCUGCCCUAUCAACUUUCGACGGCUGGGUCUUGGCCAGCCGUGGUGACAACGGGUAACGGGGAAU